rnacentral:rRNA from 1 species
UACGUAGGGGCCAAGCGUUGUCCGGAUUUAUUGGGCGUAAAGAGCUCGUAGGCGGUUCGAUAAGUCGACGGUGAAAUCUCCACGCUCAACGUGGAGGGGUCCGUCGGUACUGUCGUGACUCGAGUCCGGUAGGGGAGAAUGGAAUUCCCGGUGUAGCGGUGAAAUGCGUAGAGAUCGGGAGGAACAUCUGUGGCGAAGGCGACUGCCUGGACCAGCACUGACACUGAGGCACGAAAGCGUGGGGAGCAAACAGG